UGUAUUUUGUUUUGUCAGGCACAGUUCUGCUUGGGAGGCUGUUUAGACAGUCGGUUUCUAUGGGAGUUCCCUGCUUGUGUAAAAGGGGUGAGGGAAGAGCAACUGGCAUGUACAAAACAGGCUAUGAAUAAGUCUAUGAGAAUUGCUUACAGUCCAAGACCAGAAUCUUCUUACCAACAGGAGCCGUUUCCAUCUCUGUAGCGUGUAAGCUACAGUGACCUGUCUUUCUGGCUGUCCUUCACAGUGCCCGUUACCUGAGAAUCUGGUGGUACUGCUGACUUGCCAAAAGCUUCCUGGAAAAGGGCUGUGUUUUAGGAUUGCUUAAUGUCUGCUUGCAAUUAAUAUUUUUAACAUUAAUGCUUUUUUCUCCCCCAUCCUCUUAGUGAACCUCUGGAUGAAGUUAUGACAACCUGUAGUCUUUUUUGGAAAGGGAACAGUUUUCUAACCUUAUAAACUACAAGGUGUUACCCAGUUUGUCAGCACAGAUGCUGGUGGAGUCAGGGUUGGGUCUCUUGCUUUGACUUAUUUCCUUCAGUGUAAGUUAGCAAAACUGAAAACAGAUCAGUGUGGGGUUGCUGGCAUGUGUUUAUGUAAAAAGAUUUAUCUGAAGGGAAUCUCAUGUGACCUGCAGUAGCAGGCUGGUCUAUGCCUGGCAAGUAUGGCAGAUUCUCCUUAGCUCUGCCAGUGUCCAUCAUCUGUGCUGCUGCAGGUCGCAGGUGCCCAGUGUUGCUAAAGAGCAUGUUUGAUCUGGGAUAUGAAGAAAAUUGGAUGAUGCUAUGGGGUGGAAACUAAACAGAUACAGUGGGGUGUGAUGAUGUGCACCUUGGUCUGUAGAGGUGAGGUUGCUGUAGGAGCCUGCUGGAUCAGCUCUCCUCUGACUUGGACUGACUUUAGAGGAAGCUAUGGAGGAAAAAAAAAUCUGAAGGUGGCAGGCCAUGGUUAGGGCUGUGUGAGGGGAGGAGUCUGGGGCUGCUCCCCAUCCAUGUGCUCAUGCGGGUAGGGGCACCAGGAAGACAGCCAACAUCUGUGUGACAGGCCUCACUUUCUUGUUCAUCCUCAGCCUGAUGUCAUGAGUAAUUCAACACCGAACAUCUUUGUUACUUAAACUAAUGAGAGGUUUUUGGUGGUGUCUGCUCAGCCAUGCUGGGACCCCCUGUCUUCCAUCGAAGGUCUCUUGCUUCCUAGAUUGCCUCUGUCUGAUGUUCAUGACCUUUUGCUUUCCUGCUAUUUGAUGCCCAGGAAUAACACAAUUGGUCACUCCUCCCUGUCUUCCUGGCAUUGUCAAUUUUCCAUGUUCAUACCCUUUAUUUUGCAGGGUUGUUUCCCUGCCAUGCACAUGCAACAAUUCAGUUGGUGUCCCUGUUCCUGGGGGUCGUUGUGCUUAGCCCCUUUCAUACUUCCAGCCCUCCUGCUGUCUGCUUCUUUCUCCCCUCUGGCCCUUUGCUCUCUGGUAUAGUAUGGUGCAGUAGAGCAAUGGCUGUUGAACUGUCUCCUAGUUGGAUUGUCUCCAUCCAUCUCUAGUCUCCCAUGGAUAAAAAACAUCCCUUCUGCCUGGGGUUGCUUCCUAAAUUCAUAGGAAUGGCUUUUCCACUGGGUAUUUAGUCUAGGCAGGAUGCCAUACGUGUCAACUUUUCUCUUGCUAAAACCUGUGCGUGCACUACCUGCACUGACCAUAGCUGAAAAGCUUCCUUGGAGCAGUUCAGUAAAUUAAAGCUGCCACUGGAGGGUGACAGAAUGUGAUCUGUUUUACCUUCCAGUCCAUUUUUCCUUGGAAACAGCAAAACUUCCAGAAUGGGACCCACCAAGUGGUCUUGAUCUCAUUUAACUGAGCUCUGUGCUUAACCCUUUGCUGUAAAGACUGCUUAAAUUAAGCUGAGUAGCAUCCGUUUUUUGUAUCUUGAAAAUACAAGGCUAAUAUCCCAAGGGCUUGUGAUGAUAUUGGACCUCUUUGGGUGAGAGGUAGGGCAAUAGCAAUAUUAGCAGAGCGUGCAGAGUGUGUCAAAAGAGGGGUUCGUGAGUGCAGGAGACAUUUUUGCAUGCAGCAUCUGAAAGUGCCAUAUGCCAUUUAAAGGCUGGACAAGUUUUUUGGGCAAGGGAACUGUCUGUCUUAAAUUAGAAGUAGCUGAAGCGUUGGAAUAGAAGUUAGUUCAGUCCUAGUGGGAAGUAACAGUUGAAAGUAGGGCUCAUUCAAGUCUGCUUCAACUAGGAGAUGUGUUAAAUAGCUGGGUGGAAAUGCUCAGCAAGCUUUGCCUCUCCCUAGUUGUGACUGCUGUUGGAGGGCAGAGUGGCCUUAUUCUGCUGAACUAAAUGCCUUUAAACCCAAGACAAAUAGAGGCAGUAGGGGGAAAGCUAGAACUGAACAAAGGAGAGAGAGAGGAGAAAGUCAUCUUGUGCAAGGGAGGUCUCUGGCAUCUGCAGAAGUCUGCUGUUGAGAAGGGAAGAAGACUGGAACAUUUGUGGCCUGAUGCAGACUGGCUCGCUGAUCAGGUAAGAAGUACAGGGGAUCAGAGCGGGUCUGAGUGUUUAGCAAGACUUCUCCAGUUGAAUGCAGCCUUUUCCUUGCUGUAGGCCGCCUGCUGUUCUCCAGUCACUUAAGUCACUCUGGCAUUGAAACAAAGUGGUGUAGGCAGCACUUCUAGCAGAGUUGCAAAGUAGCUUAGACCAGCUGUAAAUGUCACCUGGGGGCAGCAGGCAGGUGGCCUUCAGGGACAGGAGGCUGCUGGUGUACAUGGUAGGAGGUUCACUUGGUGCAAUUUUAAAGGCAAUCUGCUAGGCUUAGCAAUGUUAGCCAGGAGAGCUUUUGAAGGAUGAGCGUGUCUCCUAGUUGCCAGACAGACCAGAAGAGAGAGAGCAGGUUUGAACUGGAGGUUUCUGUCACAAUCUCCCACAGAUUUCCCUCACAAGGGGGUGGUUGUACUUGAUCGAGGCAGUUGCACUGCAAGAUUGAUAAUUUUGGGAGACUUGUUACUGUUGCUAUAUUUCAUUGUGCACCCAGCAAUGUUCUUUAAGUUGUCUUGUCCCCUCCAAGCAAGCCCUGAACGUGUUAAAACCUAAAUUUGUUCUCUCUUUAGGUAACUGCCUGGGAGGGUGGUUCCUGAAGGCCCUUAGAGGUCUGCGGUGACAGACCUCUGUGGGGGUAAAUCCUAACAAGGCUCCGUGUCCUCCUGGUGUCGUUGGUCUGGUUUCCCUUGGGUGACACAGUGCUGGUGCUUCUGCCUGGUGGUCUGGGAAGUGAAAGGAAGGUCUAAUGGCUGUGUGUCUUGGGCUCCAUUGGGAUGUCUGAGCAAAUUCUGGUUUGAAAACUGCUUUGAAUCGCACUUGGGAACUGAAACUGAAGCUGCCCGUGUCGGUGGCUGGCAGCUCGCCUGGCUCAGAUCAGCUGGCAGCUUUGUAGGCAGCAGGGAUGCGUCUGGACCAGCACCCGCACCUGCCUGCUGCUGUCCCGCGUGGCGGGGGGGCCGUGCGUGGGGGGGGCCGUGCGGCGCUAGGGGGCGCUGUGGCGCCGCGGAGCGCGAGUGGGGCCCACGCGGGGGUGGGGCACGUGGGUCCCAGCUGCGCUGCCCCGGGCCCCGAACUUUGAAGCUGAUUUUAACAAGCUUUAUUCUUUUGCACUUAUUAGAGCUCUGGUACAAAUCUGGGGUUCCCCUUCGCUCCCCCCGUCGCUGGGGGUGACCUGAGCGGCUGGGCAGCUGGUGCUGUGGUGCAUGCUCCAGCUGGGCUGGUGGAACUCACAGGGCUGGGGCAAAGCACCCGCCUGCCUUCUCCCAGGAGCCAGGCCGCUGCAGCCUGCUAGGGAGCCGUGCCCAGGAGGCACAGCACCCCUGGGUGCCUGGUGGGUGCAGGUAAAGCCAGCUGCUCAGCUGCAGGCAUUGAUCCCAUUAGCUUUGUUCCUGUUCCUCCCUUGGGUUGUGCUACUGCCAUUGCUCCCGCCAGGGAUGACUGUUCUGCACGCUGUUUGCAGAGGUGAUUCUCCAGUUAUUCAUCCUGUCCUAUAAAUUUCACAUAGGCCUUGGUGGCUGGGGAGGUAGUGGCACUUGGACACUUCUCUUCGAUACACAGAAUUAACGUACUACAUAAAUAAUGUUGGGGAUUUUGCUGGGGGUUAUUGUUGGUUCCCACUUGCCUGUCCCUGAAGUAAUACUGGCUGCUGAGGAGCUGCGUGGGCAGCGGUUGAGAGCCCUCCUGUUGCCUGGGGAUCUUGGGCAAGUCCUUUGGCCUUCCUCCUUUUGCUGUUUUUGAAAUAGGAAGGCUAUUACUCGCCUUUUUUAAAUACUGGGAGGGCUGUGGAUAGAAUGUGGAUAAAAAAUAUUUGUAGGAGUUGGGAGUGAUUAUAUGUUAUAUAAUGAGAGAGAAGAAUUAAGAAAAAAUAUAUGAAAAGAAGGAAUGUCUCUGUUUACAUGCACUCACAUAGGAUAACCUGGGCUGUUGUCAAUAAAAGGGCCUGGAGAGAUCGAUUUAUGAAUGUUGUUUAUUUCUCAGUUUUUCUGUCAAAGUGACUGUAAAAUUAUUUUGCUUAUGAGCAUCCUUUCAAUUUUAUUCUGAGGUCAAUGUGAGAAGUUGCUUGCCUGGAGGGGCAGUAUCUUUGCAUCACUGGUGUAUGUGGAACUUGGUAUUUGUUGUUUUCAUAUUUUUUGUUGUCUUGUGAAUCUGAAUUAGCUCUAAAUGCCACAUGGAUCUCUUUAUAGAGAUGUUGCUUGUGUUGGUGGUUUAAGCCUGAUUUAGCACAAUUCCUCUAUAUCCCCCAGUAGUUCAUACUUCAACAAAGUAAUUGUCUUGUGGUAUGCCUCCAGUCCUUAAAGAACAAAUAUAAUGACCAUAUCUUUUACAUUGGAAAUUCAGCCAGACUG